AUUCACAUCUCUAACUCUACAGA
rnacentral:piRNA from 1 species